AUUGAACGCUGGCGGCAGGCCUAACACAUGCAAGUCGAGCGGAGCGGCGGACGGGUGAGUAAUGCCUAGGAAUCUGCCUGGUAGUGGGGGAUAACGUCCGGAAACGGGCGCUAAUACCGCAUACUAUCAGAUGAGCCUAGGUCGGAUUAGCUAGUUGGUGGGGUAAAGGCCUACCAAGGCGACGAUCCGUAACUGGUCUGAGAGGAUGAUCAGUCACAAUGGAACUGAGAAAUGGUCAAGACUCUUAGGGGAGGCAGCAGGGGGGAAUAUUGGACAAUGGGCGAAAGCUUGAUCCAGCCAUGCCGCGUUUGUGAAGAAGGUCUUCGGAUGGUAAAGAACUUUAAGUUGGGAGGCGUUCCCAAAAGAAUAAGCACCGGCUACCUUAGUGCCAGCCGCCGCGGUAAUU
rnacentral:rRNA from 1 species